AGAGUUUGAUCAUGGCUCAGGACGAACGCUGGCGGCGUGCUUAACACAUGCAAGUCGAGCGGAAAGGCCCUUCGGGGUACUCGAGCGGCGAACGGGUGAGUAACACGUGAGUAACCUGCCCCAAACUUUGGGAUAACCCUCGGAAACGGGGGCUAAUACCGGAUACGACACAGCUUCGCAUGGGGUCUGUGUGGAAAGUUUUUCGGUUUGGGAUGGGCUCGCGGCCUAUCAGCUUGUUGGUGGGGUAACGGCCUACCAAGGCGACGACGGGUAGCCGGCCUGAGAGGGCGACCGGCCACACUGGGACUGAGACACGGCCCAGACUCCUACGGGAGGCAGCAGUGGGGAAUAUUGCACAAUGGGCGGAAGCCUGAUGCAGCGACGCCGCGUGAGGGAUGACGGCCUUCGGGUUGUAAACCUCUUUCAGCAGGGACGAAGCGCAAGUGACGGUACCUGCAGAAGAAGCGCCGGCCAACUACGUGCCAGCAGCCGCGGUAAGACGUAGGGCGCGAGCGUUGUCCGGAUUUAUUGGGCGUAAAGAGCUCGUAGGCGGCUUGUCACGUCGACUGUGAAAUCCCGCGGCUCAACUGCGGGUCUGCAGUCGAUACGGGCAGGCUAGAGUUCGGUAGGGGAGACUGGAAUUCCUGGUGUAGCGGUGAAAUGCGCAGAUAUCAGGAGGAACACCGGUGGCGAAGGCGGGUCUCUGGGCCGAUACUGACGCUGAGGAGCGAAAGCGUGGGGAGCGAACAGGAUUAGAUACCCUAGUAGUCC
rnacentral:rRNA from 1 species